UACGUAGGGGGCUAGCGUUGUCCGGAUUUAUUGGGCGUAAAGAGCGUGUAGGCGGCCAAGUAGGUCCGUUGUGAAAACUGGAGGCUUAACCUCAGCUGUCGGUGGAAACCAUUUGGCUAGAGUCCGGAAGAGGAGAGUGGAAUUCCUGGUGUAGCGGUGAAAUGCGCAGAUAUCAGGAAGAACACCCGUGGCGAAGGCGGCUCUCUGGGACGGUACUGACGCUGAGACGCGAAAGCGUGGGGAGCGAACAGG
rnacentral:rRNA from 1 species